rnacentral:lncRNA from 1 species
AGUCACUCUGUUCUCCCUCCCCCAGGCACACAGAUUCUCCCUCCACUUGCUGCUGCUGGAGGGUAAGGGAGAAGUGCUGUAUACAGGGCAGGCCUGCCUUUCCUAACCCCAUCGGUGCCUCUUUCCUUGAUAUGAUGUCAGAAUCAGAUUAGCUCUUUGGAACUGAGAGAUGAGAUGAGGCCUGGAAAACUUCCCCCAGUACAGUCAAGUUCCUGUUGACUAAUUCUGUGACCACCAGUGACAGUCUUUGAGUCCGUGAGGCAGAGUUGCGGCAGCACAGGCUUUGCUUGGAGUUGGAUGGUUCGCACCCUGCUUGGCAUGGUUUCUAAGAGACAUCCUCUGAGUGGAUGAGGGGAGAAUCCAGCAGGCCUCUAGUCACACUGGAGAAAAACAAGGAGAGAAAAAUCUAAACCCAGCAGAAGAGAAAGUUUAAGAAAGCGGUCGUCGCCAAUACCAAAAUUAGCUAUGAUAUUCAGGAAGAAAAAAAUGGAAACACGAUAACCACAGUCAAUAAAGACCAAGGCCACAUUCCAUUGACCAGAGCUCAGCCACGCGCCACACCUGGCUAAAGAGACUCUGGCUGAAGAAUUCCCUGAAUAUUUUAAUGUAGCUCUAGGUUAUAACACAGAACAACCACAAGGUGGCAGAAGAACUCCAUUCUUGUAAAUCUCUUAGUUGCUUCUUUAUUUCAUCUUCCCUAUUCCAUCUAAUGUUCCCUGAAUUUUACUAUUUUGUUGGUUUGAAAAUAUGUGUGACUUACGUCCUUUAAAGGAUUUGGUUCGUAAGGUUUUGAAUAGACUGGAAUAUAAAACAUUUAUAGAAAAGAAAAAUACCUACAGUAUGAUGUUAGUGAACUAUUAAUAAUCCAAUUAAAUAAAAUAUAUUUGCUUUGGAUUAAUACAUAUUUUGUUUUGAUGUUUGCUAAAUAAAACUAAGCAUUAGGAGGCCAAAUAGCCACAAUGAACAUUUUCAUAUUAUUUAAUAAGCCAGUUUCAAGGCAUACAUGCUAAAUUUGUUCUUAAGGAAAAGUUGAAUUUUUGCUUUCAUGAAAUUACAAACUCUAAGGCAAUUUUACACGUGUAAAUCCAAUGUGUUCUGAAGUUUAAAGUGUCAAAGGCUGUUGGAUUUAAACAGAUCUUGUAUGACUCUCUGUUUCAUCUCUUCAGAGGUUGAUAGUAAGCAACUUUGGCAGCAACUCACAGCUUCUGCUGUAACAUGAGGCUAAUAAUGACGACUUUAUAAGGUUGUUGCAAAGAGUCAGGGAUGCCACAAGCAACGUUCUUUAUAUAUGCAGAAUUUUAAAAAUAAAGUAAAUAAAAA